rnacentral:rRNA from 1 species
GAUGAACGCUAGCGGCAGGCCUAACACAUGCAAGUCGAGGGGUAUAGUAGCAAUACUAGAGACCGGCGCACGGGUGCGUAACGCGUAUGCAAUCUACCUUUUACAGGGGAAUAGCCCAGAGAAAUUUGGAUUAAUGCCUCAUAGGAUAUAGGAAUCGCAUGGUUUUUAUAUUAAAGUUCCAACGGUAAAAGAUGAGCAUGCGUCCCAUUAGUUAGUUGGUAAGGUAACGGCUUACCAAGACGAUGAUGGGUAGGGGUCCUGAGAGGGAGAUCCCCCACACUGGUACUGAGACACGGACCAGACUCCUACGGGAGGCAGCAGUGAGGAAUAUUGGACAAUGGGCGCAAGCCUGAUCCAGCCAUGCCGCGUGCAGGAAGACGGUCCUAUGGAUUGUAAACUGCUUUUAUACAGGAAGAAACACCACUACGAGUAGUGACUUGACGGUACUGUAAGAAUAAGGAUCGGCUAACUCCGUGCCAGCCGCCGCUGUAAAAC